rnacentral:lncRNA from 1 species
GUCAUCGUCGACGAUCGGCUUUGAGUACUUCUUGUUGGAUGACCUCUUCAGCUCCGGCCAGAGAUACUCCGCCGUCAGCUUCUUUGGCCGGCCCGGCACGGUGGGCGGGAUGUAGCCCGAAAUGAUAGCACCUCCACACAUGGUUAAGGUUUCUCGUUUCUUCUGGUUUGUUCAGGCACUAAAGAGAAAAGAUUUUUAGGAGAGAAUGGGUUAAAUGUAAAAUUUGCUUUUGUUGGCUUGAGAGAGUUUUGGAUUCUUCAGUGUCUAGUGAAUGAUGAGAUUCAAGGGUUGGCGGAGGGUAGACGGUUUUAUAUUGUAGAGAGAUGUUAUUAGACUAUUUUAACCUCGAGUGGCGCGGUAAUUACAUUUUGGUUCAAGAGCUACACCUAAACCGACUAAAUGCCAUGAAUGAUAACACAAAUUUUUUCUUUUUAAUUUUUUAUACCCUGAUCAUGUAUGUACUCUUGAUAAUCUUGGUAGCAAACUCAUGUUAUUGAUAGGAGAUGACUUCAAAUUUCAAUUAUUAAUGCAAUUCACACGAGAGUAUGUAUUAUACUUAAAAAUGAUAUUAUCCAUGAGAUUUUAUAACGUUUAUACAAAUUGAAAAUAUUAUUUGAGAUCAUAGCAAUCAUAUAUUUUAAAUUUAUUUAUUGACUAUUAUGUGAUCUGAACAUUUAAAAAUAAUUAAUUUUACAAACUUCACUUUACCUAAAUAAUCUUAUUUUUAUUGCUCUCGCCUUCAUGUGAUAGCAUGAAUUACAUGUUGACUUAACAAAUAGUAUUCUUGAUUUCAUUAUUUUGACCUAAUUUAGUGGUGGCAAGAAUUAUAUUAUGGUUUAACGAUAAUGAUAUUUUAGAAUAAUAAUAUUAGUAUUCUUAUUAUUAAUUUAAAAUUUUUAUCGAACAACAAUAUCUUGUGACAUUAUAAUGUUCAUGCAUUUAAAAUCCAUUUAUGAGGAUGUUACAUGACUCGUUCAGGUGUAAACAAAUACAUUAAUAAAAGUAAUUUUAUUAUUAUUAAUAUUAUUAUUUUAAAUAAUUUAACAAUAAAACAAAACAUGCUUGAGUUAUAGCAUAUGUCUUAUUUUGUACUAAGGGAUUUGCAAAAACUACUCAUCUAUAAGAUUACUUGACUUAUAAGAUUUAUUUCCAUACUUAAAAAUAUUGAAACAAGUAUUUAAUUAAUUGUUCAACAAGAGAAGAGAUGAUUCGGUUGAAGUGGGUGGUGGGUGAGAUGAAGGACAGUACCUGCGAUAAAAUGGCAAAAGUGAAAAGAUAUUGAAAUGAAGAGGGUAAAAAUGGGAAUUCAGGCGGAAACAUUUUUUGACAAUUUUGGGCUUGAUUAAAAAGGGGGCUAAUUACAAUUGGGGGGCCGGUGAGGGUUGGAGCCGUGUGGGUCUGGUGAGAGAAUGGCGUCAUGUGGUUCGUUUUGAUGGGAGUUACCGCAUUUGCGCUCUGCGAGUCUGCAUGGACUACACUUGCACAAAUUUUCAUCAUCAUUUUUUUUUCUCAAUCUUUUAAUUCCUUUCCGUAAUGGGCCUCCCAAUGAAGAUUUUGUUAUUUAUGUCAUAAUAAUACAACAAUUAUAAUUUCUCCUUUUCAAAAAUAGUUAUUUGUUGAAGUUAUUGGGAAUUCACGAUAAUGAUACAUACUAAUUGGGGUUAUUUUAUUUGGCAAAUUAUAUGAGCUACCAAUUAGUGGUGGUUUAAAAUCCGGAAGCGCUAUCAAUGCAUGAGAAAUCUUAUAUAAACAAGUAACCGUAAAAUUUGGUCUAAGGUUAGGUUGAAGAGAUUUGAAAUUAGGCUUUUUUUUUUUUUGGGCAUAUUUAAUCACAUGUGAUUCUUGGUGGUUUCCUGUGAAGCAUUUUUACGAGUUCUAAAAGCAUGUGGAUUGUCUUUGUGGCUACCUAAUUCUAUGAGGUGGUGAGCUAAAUUGACUGCACAAAAAUUUCCGCAAAAUCACCUAACUUGUAUUCAAUUCACUAUGUUUCGUAGCUUUCCGUACAAAAAAAACUUGUUUAUUUCCAAUUAGAAUACAAAUUCUCUCCCUCUCUCUCUCUAGUUUUGGUCAAAUUACAACAUCGAUUUACAAAUAUUUCUCACUUUAAUUUGUUAUCCAACUCAACUUGAGUGAAAUUUUCCUACUGUUAUCUAUAGUAAAACAUUUAAAUAAGAAUAUUUAGUAAUAAAAAAUUAUGGCCCCAACUUGAGACCAGUUUUAAUUAGGAAUAAAUUCUAUAUUAUAAUAAAUUUUUUUUUUGUAGGUCUCGUCUUAAAUAAAUUUACCUCCACAUAAUAAUAAUAUUUCAAAAAUAUAUGACAUGGUCCAUUAAAUAAUUAAGCUGGAAUAAAAUAUCUUUUUAAAGUUGCUUGUGACAAUGAUUCGUUUUUUAAAGCUGCAACCACAUGUUUCAUCUUGCGACUAUGUAUAAAUUGGUCAGCAUAGACAUCUUCUUGUUGAAUCCAAAAUAUUUAUAAAUUCUCAAGUUUGUUUGUAGCUUCUUGGCAUGAAACUUUUGUGUAUUUAUGUACUGUCAUCCUCAGGAUUAUCCCAUUUCUCUUCUUAUCCAAUUGCAUUAAUAAUUUCUUCUUCAAUUAAAGCAUACCCGACUUAUUGUUCACUUGAAUGAUUGAUGAAGAAAUUAAUAUCCAUUUGAUUAUUAAUACAUGACAUAAUUUACAUCUAUAUCACUUGCAUCAAGGAUAAUUAAGUAAAGAUAAUAAUUUUUGUACUAUACCUCUAUUGAGUUAUAAGCUCUUUAUAAGAAUAAAUUUCAAUAAUAUGACUAUAAAUAGAUUUUAGUGUACUUAUAUUUGGCUACAAAGUUUCACUAAUGUAGUACUUUUUUUUUUUUUAAUAGAAGCUUUACUAAUAGAGCUACUUCAAAGAUAACCUUUCAAUUACAUGGAUCGAAAUUGUAAAAAGGUAGAUAUGAAAUGGGUUGCAAUCUCAAAAGUCCUAUAUUUAAUUUAAUAAAUUGCGGAAAUUUAAAAUUGCACGUGUGUUGCAUUUUUCUUGACUUACGAAAAUUAAUCCUCUUAUUUUCUUUGCAUAUGAAUUUCUAACUUCUAGGAGUAUCGAAUUGAGGAAGAAGAUUGCGUGAUAUGUUUGUGUGUAAAGUGGAAAGCCCACUAUUGAACGUUUUGAUGGCUUCAAGCAAGAAGACUAAUGAAGUGUUAUCAAUUAAGAUAGCUGCUAGCUUCAUAUAGGCUUCUGGCUAUAACUGUGGCUCUGGUAAAAAAACAUGAACUCAAGACCCAGAUUCAGAAUGAGGAUUUCGUGGGACUCGGUACUAAUUCAAUAUAGUAAUUAGUAAAUUGUUUAUAAAUAAUCUUCUUUCUUAAUGCCACCACAUAAAUUUCGGCCUCCGACAACUCUUUCUUUUCUUUACCAAAGAAUUGGCUUCAACUAUCAUAGGCUUGUUGAAAAGUCUAAAUAUAUAUUAUCAAGUAUUUUUAAGACAAUAAUACGUUCUUUAUUGAAUUCCAACUCCUUCUAGUAAUGGAAGGAGAAAGUAUGUAGUACGCGCACGAAAAAAUCACCCCAUUAUUUAUUAAGUUUUUUUUUUUUUUUUGGUUUAAACCAUCCGAUUUCCGGCGACCGCAUUGGGCCCCGACUAAUUCGGUGUAGUCACAGUUAAGGCUCUUUACCCCUCCCAAAUGGUGUGUUUAGUGAGGAUCGAACCCGAGAGCUCUUCCCACUUACCCAGCCUGCGCCGCCAACUGAGCCACAAUCGUUUGGUUAUUUAUUAAGUUUUUAACAUAACUACACCGCAUAAAUGAAUGUGAUUGACUUGUUAAAUAGUCGACAUAAUAUUUUAUGUUGGGUAAAAGUGUUUGAUUAAUUCUUGUAUUAUUAAAAAUACCUCAAAACAUUCAUGUUGUUAAAUUAUUGACACAUUGUCAUUAAUUUUUGUUUCAUUUAACUUACUUUUAUAAUAUUACUCUCUUACAAUAACAUUCCUUUUUUUUGACAUUAAUAAAAGAAAAAAAAAUCAAAUUAUCAAUUUAACUCUAAAAAAUAAAAACAAUAUAUAUAUAUAUAUAUAUAUAUAUAUAUAUUAAUUUUUGUGGAACACUCAAUUGAGGAGUUAAUAUAUAUAUAUUUUUAUUAAUGUUAAUAUAUUAUAAAAGUAAUUUAUAAAAGACAAAAAAUAACGACAUAGGUGUUAAUAGUUUGACUGUAAAGAUGUUUUGAGAUAUUUUAAAAAAAUAUAAAAACUAAACAGGUACUAAUAUCGUAUUAUAAAAAAUAAACGAGUUUUUAUGGGUAAUUUUUAAAAACAUCCCCUGAGGUUUGGGCUUGUUGCAAGUAGAUGGCGAGAAUUUAUUUAUUUGUAAAAAACCCCAUACCGUCAGUUAACUUUAACAUUGACCGUUAGUUGACUAUGCAAAGACAAUAUUACCCUUAACAAUAAUUUGUAAACGGAAAUAACUAAAAUAAAUUAAAAUUAUUGACUAUUUUACCCUUUUUAAAUUAUUGAUAUUUUCUUAAAGUUUUUACAAGAAAGAUAAAAUUAAAAAUUUUAAAAAUCAUCUUUAAAUUAUUGAUAUUUUCUUAAAGUUUCUACAAAAAAGAUAAAAUUAAAAACUUGAAAAUGAAAUAGUUAUAAUCUUUACCUAUGAUAUUGUAAAUCUUUGGAAUUGAUAAGGAUAAAAUUGUCAAAAAAUAGGGUUUGUGCUUUUCGCGCCAACAAUUUUAAUUUUUUUUUUAGUUAUUUCCGUCUACAAAUUGUUGUUAAGGGUAAUAUUGUCUUUGCACAGUCAACUAAUGGUCAAUGUUAAAGUUAACUGACGGUAGGGGAUUUUUUACAAAUAAAUAAAUUCUCGCCAUCUACUUGCAACAAGCCCAAACCUCAAGGGAGAUUUUUAAAAAUUACCCGAGUUUUUACUCUAUGUUGUGUGAGAAAGAAUCUCACUUGUUGGAAGAGAAAAGUAUUUUACCAUGGCUACUAGGGCAAAAUGGCAACAUUGUGAAAUCAAUAAAGAAGAGAGGGCAGAUUAAUUAAUUAAGCAAAGAAGAAAUGCCGCACUUGCUGGAAUCUUCCGCAAGAUGUGACGUCUUACCAAGAGUUAAUCCAACAAAAAAUGGUGGAGUGAGAGAUGGAAUGUGAAGAAAGGUAAAUGGUGAAAAUUCGUCUUUUGCCAAAUAAAUAAAUAAUAAAGGCGAAAAAGAGGUGCAUGCAUUAGAAUCUGGCGUACACAGGGAACAUCGAGAGAGUUGCGAAAACGACAAAAAGAAAAUGAAUUGGAAAAUUUCAAAAAGCAAAAUGAAAGACAAAUGGACCCCACUCUUAAGAUGUGUGUGCAUUACGACAAAGUUGUUUUGUGAAACAAAAACAUGUAUUUUUACAUACACACCCAAUAGUUGGCAGCCAUGUGCCCGGAGGAGAGAGAAAAUACAUUGAAAAACAAGUAAAAAGAGUUGGCUGUAAGUUACAUGAAUUGUAACUUAGGCAACUCCUUUUUAUAUAUAUAUACUUUUGUUUUCUUUUUUUACUUCUUUUGGAAGAUUAAAAAACACGUUUCUGUUUAAUCGCCCACUUGCAUGUUGCUUCCGGCCGUAUUAAUAUCUAUCAGAGGAAAUAAUGCUUCCACCGACCCCGCAGCUUAAUUUUGCCAAUUAAAAAAAAAAAUAAAAAUCUUGAUUCUUUUUAAAAUUUAAAAUUUACCUGGAUUUUAGUAUAAAUUAAUCAAUGGUGUUAUUUGUUUUUGAUUAAUUUUUCCGGAUCUAGAUGAGGAUUAUUUUUGUAUAUAUAAAUUGCGUUUGUUUUUUAACUUAAUGACUUAAAGUGACUUAACUUAAUUAAUUAAGUUAAUUAGAAGUGUUUGUUUUUAUAAUUUAAUGAAAUUUUUUAGAUAAUUUUGACUUAAUAAAAUAAGCUAAUUUUUUUAGCUUUUUAUGUAAUAGAGAAAUCUGAAUUAAGUCAAUUACUUACUAAUGUAAAAAAUAUUCAUGUUUUAUAAUUUAUUUUUUAUGUCUAUCCCAAAAUUCACCCAUAGAUAUUUACCCCACUUAAAAAUAUCCAUGUUUUUUCUUUCUUACAUUAUAUACGAUAAAAUUUGAAAUUUAUGGUAUUUUAUAUAUUAAAAUUUUAAAAUAAUUAUGUAUUCACUUGAAUAUAAUUUUACUUAUAAAUAUUAAAAUAUUGUGGUAUUUAAUAUAUUAUUUAUUUGACAUUCAAAUUUAAUAUGGAUACAAAUGUAAAAUUACAUAUUUUCAGUUUUUUAAGUUGAAAAAAACAAACAACUUAAUACUUAUUUUUCGAGAUACAGACGAUAAAACAAACAUAUUAUUCAGAUUCAGACAUUCAGGCCUAUUCAGAUUUAUUCAGAUUUAAGACAAAAAAACAAACGCCACAUGUAGAUUAUUUUCUUAAAUCAAAUUAGAGAUCACCAAAGAGUAUCUGACUACUUAAGUGAAAAGGUCUUCAAAUACAAACAAGUAGAUUAAUUUUAUAUCAUCUUAAGAUUUUGAAAGACAAAACCAAAAUUGUUUCUCAUUGAAAAAAUUCAUUAACUUGUCAAUUAAUGGUGCUACCUUUCAAUUAAUGAUAUACAAAUUAUGCAUUGACAAAGAUGACCAUUUUUUAUUAUAGGAAAUUUAAUGAAGAAUGCGCUAUGUUUUCCCCUAUAUUUGUGCUUUAUUUUUGUUAGAAAAUUCCAAGUUGAAACACAGCCAUUAGAAUAUUCUAAUGUUCAAUGUUUCUAUCCAUUGCCCAAACUUUUACUUUUAAAAAAUUUGUUAACACUAUUAUUAAUAUUGUUGUUGCAGCUAAACACACCACCAAACAAGUUGUUAUUAAUUAAUUAAUUAAUUCUAAUGAAAUAUCAUAUCCCCGUCAUAUUUUCGUCUUCCAAAUCACAUCAUGCUAUUUGCCAUUCUACUCAUAUAAUUAAGAUUUUGAUUAUUAGUCAAUCGGCAACACGGGCAUUCUAAAUUCUUUUUUCAUUUUUUAUUUUUCCAAAUGUUUUGGUGAAAAUUUUGAUAUGACCUAUGAGCGAUGGUGAUCCCUAGGGAGUAGAAGAAGGUGGAAAGCUCGUGGUGUACACGCUUCACAUUGAUACAAUUUGUCACAUUAAUUAAAUUUGAAUAUUUUUUUGUUGUUAUGUGGAGAUAAUUCCUGGGUUCCAUUAUUUUUUGAACGUCAAGUGGACAAGUUGGUGGAAUAGCUGUUGCUCACACAAACGUCUGUUACGAAAGCAAAAUCAAUUUGUGUUGACCUUUUCAUAAAAACCCAACCGAAAAAACAAAAAAUCGUGUUGACCAAUUGCUGCCUAAUUUUGACCGAUCGAAUUGAACGUCUGUGAUCCAGAGGCUACGCGACUGCUCAUUAAAGACAUGCGAUUUCUUUCUCGUGCACCCUCGAUUGUCUGAUGUUGAAGAAAGAUCAUGAAGUCAAGAUUUUUUAAUUUGAUUUAUUAAAUUUCACCCUACGCCGGCGCACAUAUAAUGUCAUGUGCCCAUCUCGUUCAAGAUUUUCUUUUAUUUUAUUUAUUUUUUGGUGCAACUGCUAACCAGGAAACUCGUAAUUUAUUUUUGCUUUUGAAUAUACUUUCUAAUUUUGUUACGGCUUCAACAACGAAGGUACAAGAUUAUGCUUAUCUAUUUUGCAAAAGUGGAAGAUACUCAUUUCAUAAUAUUUUACAUGUAUGUUAAAAAUUUUUAUUACAAAGUAAUCACUUGAUUAGUCCACCAAAUGAUUAUUAGCUAUUAAGAACAAGUUGUUAACCUAACGGAAAUACUAUAUUUUAUAUGGUUACAAAGCGUAGGCUACCGUGGUUUUGAACGUUUGCUUGUUUUUUAUGAUGGUAUUAUUAGUUGGAGCUUACUAAUAUAUAUAUAUAUAUAUAUAUAAAGCAAACAGAUCCGGUGCUCAGCUGAGUUUGUGUUGAGCACCGGAUCAAUGGUCAUCAAUUGUCUAAUGUGGGCUCCAAACAAUUGCUGACCAUUGAUCUAAUGCUCAGUACAAGCUCAGCUGAGCACCGGAUCCUGAUCUAUAUAUAAAAUUAUUUUUUUAAUGUGGAUAUUUUUUUUUAAUACGGAUACGUUGUUAGUUAUGCAGUUUAAUAGAAUUAAAAACCGACUCUAUUAAAAGUUUGUCCAAGAAAAAUAAGGACAUCCACAAAUAAUUAUAUAUUAUUAUGCCAACAAAUAAUUUAUGGCAGUAUUCAUUGUGAAGGAUUAUGUCAUUAUCAUGCAUACGCUGAAAGAGAAAAAGGAAAAUGAAUGAAGGCAUCAAGUAUAUAUCACAGUGUACUGUCUAUGAAAGUAACAACCAAGCCAAUACCAGGACCACCUUCACUCUUAUCACAAGAUGAGAUGUACAUGUUGAAUAUGGAAAUAUUGAUAGAGAUUAACAAAAAUUACAGUUGAAUAUAAGUAUGGAAUGCUUUGUUGUGUCAUUUAUUUGAAGGAUUCAUAUGUGACCCAAAUUUGCCAACAUUUAGAAGGACUCAAAUGUUGAAAUAGUUUGAACAAAAGUUAAAGGCCGCGAGUAAAAGUAAGAUCAUAAUCUUGCAUGCAUUGUCACGACAAUGGGACUAGUGGCAUUGUGCUUCCCAUCUGACCAUACUAUUUUACCACCCUUCAUGCUUGAGCUCCCGGGGGAGAGCUUAACUGCCGUUGCCUCAACGUCCUUCACGGCUGUAGAUCAUACAAUGAUUGGGGAAAAAAGAAAAAAAAUAUAUUUCAUACACAAGAAGCACAACCCAAUCAUAAAGAGAAGCGAAUUUCAUAAAGAACUCCCAUCAUUAAUGAUAGAACACACUUGCAACCAAAUUGGAUAACUUUAAAUACCAUCAUCAACAUCGUGCAGUCACGCAAUUCUAUGUACAACAAGAAAUCCAUUGUUUUCCAUUACAAGAUCAGAAAAAUGAAUUUUCCCAUGAUCUAUAACUGCAACACACUAAAAACCCAAACAAAUGACAAAGAGAUAACUGACAAAAUUACUGCCAAAUGGUUACACAAAAAGGUAGAUCAAGUGAUAAUUUUAUCUACUCUUAAGAUCCCAGAACCGAAAAUUUCAACCAUUUCACAUAAAACAAAAUAUAGUAAAAAAAAAAAAAAGAGGAAAAAUUUAAGCUUCCAUUUUACAAAGCUAAGCAACAGAAACCUCUGAUCCAACCAAUAUAAUAGAUCAUGUCAAUAUAUGCUUGAUUUGACUGACCAAGCAAACUAGUGAACAAUCUAUGCAAGUCUGGACAUCCCAUCUAUCUAAACAAAGAAGAAAAAAUUCCAAGAAAGAACAUCUCUAAAAUAUGAUCAUCAGAAUUAUCGAUCGAACAUCUGCAUCACAAAACUAACUUCCAACGGCACAAAUUAAAAAUGUCAAUUCAAAGACAAAAGAAAAGCUUGAUUGGAACAAAUGAUCCACAAACCACGAUCAAAAGCCAACAAGGACUUUAAACGCCAACCCAACAAGAAACUUCUUUUAUACAAAACAAAAAUCAGAACUUUAGAUGACAAUCAGCGCCAAGUCAUAAAAAUUUAUUUUUACCCCUAAAAUAAAGACGAAGGAAAAUGAAGAUCAAUAUAUCACAUUAGAUCAAAGCAUCUACUCAAAUUCCAUAACUUGUUAAAAAUUAAAAAAGAAAAACAGAAAAUAAGCUACCAAAAAAAAAAAUAUUACUACAAUUAUUUAAUCUAACUUUGAAAUUUUUUUCUUAAUCUUAAUUUUUUUUCCAAAGAUGAUUAAUAAAAUUUUUCUUCUUUCUUGGUGCAGGAUUAGCUAAAUUAAAAAACUUGGAAGCGUUGGAUUUGAGUGAUAAUUAUAUUAUACACGGUUCUUUAGAAGGUAAUUUUUUUAAUUAAACAAUUUGCAUAGUUAAUUUUCAUUCAAUAUUUACCAUAUUAUUUAAUUAAACAAUUUAGAUGAGAGUGACCUAGCUAUUAUUGACAAAAUUUAUAUUUUUUUAACAAGAUUAGCAAAUUUGACAAACCUGCAAGUGUUGGAUUUAAGCGAUAAUGAAAAUUUGACAACGCUAGGUAAGCCACGACGUCUGAGAUAAGAAGCAAAUUAAGAAUUAAUGUUUAUCAAGUGCACGGAUUACAUACAAUGCUUUUGAAUGUAAUAUUUUCAUUCAAAAGCAUUGGAUCUUCGUGAUUGUGGAAUAACUACAAUUCAAGGUCUACAACAAUUUACUUCCUAUUAAUGUCGAAUUUAGAAAAAGUUUUCGACAGCCCUCACUUUUUAGUGUUUUUAAAGUAUUAUUGAUAAAUGUAUAUAACAACCCAAAGAUUAUAAACUUUUUUUAAAAUUUAUAGACUUAAUUCUUCUAUUCCUCUAUUUUUUUCCAAAAUAAAUAAAGCAGGAUUAGCCAAUUUGUCAAAAUAGUAUAAGCUUAUCCGUAACAUGGCCAAGUAAUAUUUGAAUUUUCGUAAAUAGUUUAAUUAUUUAAAAAAUAGUUAAAUUGAAAAGAUUGGAAGCAUUGUAUUUGAGUGACAAUAAUAUAAACGGUUCUUUAGAAAGCCAAGGUAAAAUUUUUAAAUAAAUGGCUUACAUAAAUUUGAGUGGCUUAACUAGCGCUGCCAAAUUUUCAUUAUCGCUUAAAUUCAACACUUGCAGGUUUGUCAAAUUUACUAAUCUUAUUAAAAAUAUAUAAAUUUUGUCAAUAAUAAUUAGGUCACUCUCAUCUAAAUUGUUUAAUUAAAUAAUAUGAUAAAUAUUGAAUGAAAAUUAACUGUGCAAAUUAUUUAAUUAAAAAAAUUACCUUCUAAAGAACCAUGUAUAAUAUAAUUAUCACUCAAAUCCAACGCUUCCAAGUUUUUUAAUUUCGAUGACCUCUUCAGCUACGGCCAGAGAUACUCCGCAGUCAGCUUCUUUGGCCGGCCCGGCACAGUAGGCGGGAUGUAGUCCGCAACGAUAGCACCUCCACACAUGGUUAAGGGUUUCUCGUUUCUUCUGGUUUGUUCAGGGACUAAAGAGAAAAGAUUUUUAGAAGAGAAUGGGUUAAAUGUAAAAUUUGCUUUUGUUGGCUUGAGAGAGUUUUGGAUUCUUUAGUGUCUACUGAUGAGGUUCAAGGGUUGGCGGAGGGUAGACGGCUUUAUAUUGUAGAGAGAUGUUAUUAGACUAUUU